rnacentral:tRNA from 9 species
UCCUCGAUAGCUCAAUGGUGGAGCAACCGGCUGUUAACCGGUAGGUUGCAGGUUCGAGUCCUGCUCGGGGAGCCA